UCCCUGGUGGUCCAGUGGUUAGGAUGUGGCACUUUCACUGCUCUGGGCCUGGGUUCGAUCCCUGGUCAGGGAA